rnacentral:rRNA from 1 species
AUUGAACGCUGGCGGCAGGCUUAACACAUGCAAGUCGAACGAGUGGCGGACGGGUGAGUAAUUCCUGGGAAUCUGGCUUAUGGAGGGGGAUAACGACGGGAAACUGUCGCUAAUACCGCUUACCAUAGUAUGAGCCCAAGUGGGAUUAGGUAGUUGUUGAGGUAAAGGCGCACCAAGCCGACGAUCUCUAGCUGGUCUGAGAGGAUGACCGGCCACACUGGGACUGAGACACGGCCCAGACUCCUACGGGAGGCAGCAGUGGGGAAUAUUGGACAAUGGGCGCAAGCCUGAUCCAGCCAUGCCGCGUGUCUGAAGAAGGCCUUCGGGUUAUAAAGGACUUUUGUCAGAGAAGCGGUACCUGAAGAAUAAGCAACGGCUAACUACGUGCCAGCAGCCGCGGUAAUAC